rnacentral:rRNA from 1 species
CCAGCCCGUGCGGUAAUACGGAGGGUGCAAGCGUUACUCGGAAUCACUGGGCGUAAAGGGCGCGUAGGCGGAUUAUCAAGUCUCUUGUGAAAUCUAAUGGCUUAACCAUUAAACUGCUUGGGAAACUGAUAGUCUAGAGUGAGGGAGAGGCAGAUGGAAUUGGUGGUGUAGGGGUAAAAUCCGUAGAUAUCACCAAGAAUACCCAUUGCGAAGGCGAUCUGCUGGAACUCAACUGACGCUAAG